GCUCCAAUAGCGUAUAUUAAUGUUGUUGCAGUUAAAAAAGCUCGUAGUUGGAUUUCUGAUAGAGUUGACCGGCCAUAGCCUCACGGCAUGUGCUGUGUGUCUAACUUUGUCAUCCUUGGAGUAAGCGUGUUGGGCAUUCAUUUGUCUGGCUCGGGAGCUCCAUCGUUUACUGUGAAAAAAUUAGAGUGUUUAAAGCAGGC
rnacentral:rRNA from 1 species